CCUCAGUCCCCCAUCUCUACUCCAGCCAUGUUCAGCUGUCAGAAAUGAGAAGAUGAAACCAGGACCAACGUGGAUUAAAUAGAGUUUGUCUCUUCCAGAAUCAAAGCUGUAAAACUACAAAUCAUUCUUCAAAUGGAGCCCCAGAUGCAGUCCAUGACUAAGAUCUACCAUGGACCCCUGGACCGGCCUGCUAGCCCAUGCUCCGAAGUUGAUGACAUCGAAGGCACCCCUCCCAAGGAAAUUUCAACUGCACGACCCUUACUAUGCCCCAAUUCAGCAGGAAGCAGUUAGAGCUGUCGUCAGCCAACCUCCGCAAGAGCACUUGGGUUUUCCUGUUGAGAGGGGCUACUAAGAGACAGGACUAGCUGGAUUUCCUAGGCCAACUAAGAAUCCCUAAGCCUAGCUGGGAAGUUGACCACAUCCACCUUUAAACACGAGGCUUGCAACUUAGCUUACACACAACCAAUCAGGUAGUAAAGAGAGCUCACUAAAAUGCUAACUAGGCAAAAACAGGAAGUAAAGAAAUAGCCAAUCAUCUAUUGCCUGAGAGCACAGGGGGAGGGACAAUGAUCGGGAUAUAAACCCAGGCAUCGGAGCCGGCAAUGGCUGUCCCCUUUGGGUCCCCUCCCUUUGUAUGGGAGCUCUGUUUUUACUCUAUUAAAUCUUGCAAUUGCAAAA
rnacentral:lncRNA from 1 species